GGGGGCGACAAGGCUUCGACGGCGGAUGCGAUGUCGCAAGGUGCAUGCCGAGAGGGUAGUGACUCUCGUUAAACAAUCGCUGCAACUUUAUAUAGUUGCCAACGACGAAAACUACGCACUAGCGGCGUAAGCCGCUUACCUCGACGAGUCGGUGCCCGCGACGGCGACUCGAGGGCAAAAGUCCGCGGGAUAGUGGCUGCCGGUGCGCAUACGCGAACCGCCUCGGAAGCAGCCAUGAAACUUGAACGAGGCUCGCCCAAACGCACCCUGUCCGCCGGGUCGCAAACGGGCUAAAACAAUAGACGGCCUAAGCAUGUAGAACCGGCGACAGAACACCGUUGGACGCGGGUUCGAUUCCCGCCGCCUCCACCA
rnacentral:tmRNA from 1 species